AUUUAUAUAGUUUAAAAAAAACAAUACAUUUUCAUUGUAUAGUUAGAUUAUAUCUUAUAAAUA
rnacentral:tRNA from 1 species